rnacentral:sRNA from 7 species
CUGAUAUCUCUAGAGGAUGAAGUCUGUUGCUGACACAUCAGAGCAAAAAAACAGAAGAAUCUUCCCAUGGCAACUUGCCUUGAAGCUGUCUUUGAGUGACCACCUCCAGGGGUGAAAGAGCAUUUCAACUUCUGUGGCUCAUUCACUCCCGCAGCUCUC